CUGGGAACAAUCUUAGUAAAUUACUGUCAGAGGGAUAAGAAAACAGAUUUCCAGUACCCACUUAUCCAUCAUUUUUGUAUUUCAGUCUUAGAAUCUCUCUUAUGUCCAUGCUGAAUAGUCACACUCCAGAUACUGAAGAAACCAAUACUUCACAAGCUGAGAAAACCCUGUUGUUUCAGGUGACAUCAAGAUAAUACAAUUAAACAUUAGUCAGAGAAAAUACCGUGGGAUAGAAGUUAGUGGGAGUUUUGCCUGAGCAAGGAGUGAAUAAAAAAGGAGAAAAGCUCUCAGAACAUUUUCCAGGAAAGCAGAAGAGAAAAACUUUAAAGUCUCUGGAUAUUCCUGCCAUAUAUUAUACAAAUAAAACUCAAGUCCCAGAUCUCCCUCAGAAUUCCACUCCUGAGGCAGACAGCUGCACAGUACUUCUUCCAUACAAUGUAGGUCAGUAGAAGAGGAAAACAGGUCAUUCCAAAGCUGAAACAUGCUAAUAGGGGAUACUCAGUGGUUAGUGUUCUGUCUUGCAAGAAGGACAUAAUUUGAAUAU
rnacentral:lncRNA from 1 species